rfam:Parcubacteria (Thrbacteria) bacterium GW2011_GWC2_53_7 TY82_C0014, whole genome shotgun sequence.
GGGGAUGUGGGAGUAAUGGUAACUCCGCCUAGCUGAGAACUGGGAAUUACGGGUUCAAAUCCCGUCAUCUCCA